CACGACCUCAGAGCAGGCGAGACUACCCGCUGAAUUUAAGCAUAUUAUUAAGCGGAGGAAAAGAAACUAACAAGGRUUCCCUUARWAGCGGCGAGCGAACAGGGAAAAACCCAGCACCGAAUCUUGUAGGUUCACCCUGCUGAGAAAUGUKGUGUUUGGGAGGGUCCACUCAUCCCGGAGUCCUGCGGCGAGUUCAAGUCCUUCUUGAAUGGGGCCACGGCCCGCAGAGGGUGCCAGGCCCGUAGAGACCGCUGCGGCUUCCGGGAGGAUCCCUCCUUAGAGUCGGGUUGCUUGAGAGUGCAGCCCUAAGUGGGUGGUAAACUCCAUCUAAGGCUAAAUAUGACCACGAGACCGAUAGCGAACAAGUACCGUGAGGGAAAGUUGAAAAGAACUUUGAAGAGAGAGUUCAAGAGUACGUGAAACCGUUCGGGGGUAAACGUGAGAAACCCGAAAAUGCAUCAACCGGAGAGAUUCAAGUCUAUCCGCGCCUAAUCCCCUACCUUGCCAGAUGGGUCUGACCUCCCGCACGGAGCAAUCCGGCGUCGGUGUAGGCAACAGUUUUCACUCGGUAGGGUAGUGGUGUUUAGGUCGGGGGGCCGCACUUCUCUCCAUGUUGGACGUCGCGACCCGUUGGGUGUCGGUCUAAGGCCUGGGUGGUAGUCUGUUUGUCUGCGUCGUAAGGCGUGUUCGUCGGACAGGCCCCCAGUGUUCCCGGCCGACGGCUCGACGGUAUGUGUGCGCAGAGUUGAUUCGCCGCCUCUCGGGGUGGGCGUCCGGCCUCCGGCAAGCGCGUGCGCGUGGCAUGGAUGACGGACCUCUGGCCCGGCUCUGGCCCCGCACCGCUGUUGGUUCGGGUGUGCCUCGGACAGAAGAAUCUGUAGACUCUCGUCAGCGGCGCAAAAGCUUCGGGUAAUUUCACGACCCGUCUUGAAACACGGACCAAGGAGUCUAACAUGUGCGCGAGUCAUUGGGUUUAUACUAAACCUAAAGGCGCAAUGAAAGUGAAGGUCCCGCCUCGUGCGGACCGAGGGAAGAUGGGGCGUGCUUCUGCGCGACCCCCGCAUUCCCGGGGCGUCUCGUUCUCAUUGCGAGUUGAGGCGCACCCAGAGCGUACACGUUGGGACCCGAAAGAUGGUGAACUAUGCCUGGCCAGGACGAAGUCAGGGGAAACCCUGAUGGAGGUCCGUAGCGAUUCUGACGUGCAAAUCGAUCGUCGGAGCUGGGUAUAGGGGCGAAAGACUAAUCGAACCAUCUA
rnacentral:rRNA from 1 species